rnacentral:rRNA from 1 species
UACGUAGGGGGCAAGCGUUUGUCCGGAUUUAUUGGGCGUAAAGCGCGCGUAGGCGGCGCGGUAUGUCGUGCGUGAAAUCUCCCGGCUUAACUGGGAGGGCCGUGCGAAACUGCCGGGCUUGAGGUCGGAAGGGGAAAGUGGAAUUCCGGGUGUAGUGGUGGAAUACGUAGAUAUCCGGAGGAACACCAGCGGCGAAGGCGGCUUUCUGGUCCGAUACUGACGCUGAGGUGCGAAAGCGUGGGGAGCGAUCCGG